rnacentral:sRNA from 1 species
AUUUGCUUUCCUAGGGCUGGACUUCUGGCUUUUCCUAUAGCUCGGGGUUCCACACAAGGGUUGCCUGUAAGCAUGACCAAGCCAUCAAUCAUCUUUUGUUCCCAGGACUCAAGGGAGUCCCCAUUGUGGCCCCCUGAGAGGGGACAGGCUUGGCUCAGCCGCCUUCAUGGUCUUGGGCCACCCAGUCACCUUACCGUAGGCACAUUUUCCUAGUUCACACCUGGGUCCUGCUGUCCUGCCCUGGACAUGCCCACUCAUCCCCCUGUCUAGCAAAGCAGAGGUUGUCCACCCUUGGGCUGACGGUCCUUGCCUUUCCAGCAAGUGAAGCUGGAGGAAUUUGGGAGGCCGAAGAUUGACGGGGAGCUGAAAGUUCGGUCCAUAGUCAACCACACCAAGCAAGACAGGUACCUGUUCCUGUUUGACAAGGUGGUCAUCGUGUGUAAGAGGAAGGGCUACAGCUAUGAGCUGAAGGAGGUUAUUGAACUGCUCUUCCACAAGAUGACUGAUGACCCCAUGCACAACAAAGACAUCAAGAAGUCUCAUGGGAAGAUGGUAAGCGCCUGGUGCUCUCCCUGUCCCCCAGUGGUGCCCCAUGCUGGCCUUUCCAAACUCUGGGGCUCCCUGGGCCUGAGUAGAGCGGGCUCAUGGCCCUCCCCCUCCUUCCUCUAUAUCUUAAUCACGAAAGUGACACAUCUUUGUGGCACCGACCGGAUAGCCAGCCUGCUCUCCUUCCUGGCAAGUAAAGAUCAGGGAGCACUGAGCAGUGGACUCAGAGACUUUCUGAACUCUGCCCUGCAGGAUCCUCCUCACUUCUCCCCUCCCCUUCCCUUCCCCAUGCUCCUCCCUCUCCCCCUCCCUCAUCUCUCUACUCCUGAAAGACUAGGCCACACUUGACCUAGCACCCUUUGGAAGCCCUUUUCUCAGGCCAGUGGGUCAGGCCUGACUGCCGGGUGGCUCAGUUUGGUCAGACCCUCAGCCAUCUGACCCUGGCCUUUGUUUUUCCUGUUGUUAUUAACUCAGGAUUCGUUUUUUAACCCAGGAAGUGAAAGUGAGUGGGCAGGGCUAUGGAAGGCUCUUGGGCUGGUUCCUGGGCACCACUCCUGAGGAAUCUCAGGGACAGCAGGGAUUUGGGUUGAAGUACCCAGUGAAGGGGUGCAGGAGGGUUGGGAUAUCCUGAUAGAGGGCGGGCCCUGAGCUUGGGAUGUCACA